AGGCACGUAGCUCAGCGGGAGAGCACUACCUUGACACGGUAGGGGUCGGCGGUUCGAAACCGCCCGUGCCUA
rnacentral:tRNA from 1 species